CCUUGAAUUGUUUAGCUAAACGGCCCUAAACCGUUUCCCAUUCAUUCUCAAUGGUAGUGCUAAACCACUACGGAUGUAAUAUACUUUCGGCCGCUAGCGCUCUCGUGGCGCUCUUCCGGUUUUGGGCACCGCGGGAAGUUUGAAUUCGCAGAAGAAGGAGAAGAAGAAAACACAUAACAGCGAUCGCCUCCGUUGUUAAAUUCAACGCAUUCUCAAGCGUCUAUCAAAGAGAGCACUGCUUCUUCACUGAUUGUGUCUUUGCUGUCUUCUUUUCCUGGGACCCGAGCAGAUCUUCAGUCAGAGACAGGAACUACAUGUAUGUCACCUCUGCAUGUGCUGGCCGUACCUGACCUGUGAAGACUGCUGACAGGGUGUUUGUACUGGACAGCGAACGCUGAGCCUAUCGACAACGUGCUUAAUAAACACCACAGGAAGACAUCCUAACAGCACGCUCCAUAUGACCACAAAACUACACGUCACAUUAUGUCAAGCACCUGACCACACUGCUGAACACCAGUUCUUCAUUAAACACGACUGCAGAAAAGUAAACACCAGGAUGUCAUUCCAAGACUUUAUGGAAAUGGAGCACUUUAGACUGAACUGAAGGACACAAAGAAACAGGACUGCAAAAACACGAAAGGCCUGGAGAUGAACACGUUGUUCACUUGUGCAGAUUUUGUGAAAUGGAACUUAGCCAGGAUCCAAACAGUCCUCACACACACACACACACACACACACACAGGCUAUCCUGAAAUAAGUUCAAAAAAGUUUUUGAAAAAAAGUAAAGCUAAAGUCUUCUUUAUUUACCAACAUCAGGGCAUUGAGAAAGAGGUGACCUGGAAAGAGUCUAAAGAAAAAUACGAGAUAUUAAUUUGCAGCUUAUUUAGCAAUAUUUAACUCAUGUAUAUACUGUAUAUUUUAAUUUUUCAGUAUGAGAUUGUAAUAUCUAUUUAUAUUGUCAGAAUUCUUUUUUCUAUUUAAUUAUUUUGGCUUGAUCUUAAAAGGUGCUAAAAGCAUUUAAUAAACACAACUGAAAAAUACAAAUUGCUUCACGAGUGCUGUUUCCACUUCGUAUGACUAAUAUUUUACAGUGUCUAUGGUUUUGAAAACUCUUACUUGAUCAGUUAUCUUAAGUGUGACUUACAUUAUUCCAUCA